GUGUCAGCAGCCGCGGUAAAACGUAGGGGGCAAGCGUUGCCCGGAUUCACUGGGCGUAAAGCGCGUGUAGGCGGUCCGUUAAGUCGGGUGUGAAAUCUCCAGGCUCAACCUGGAAAGUGCACCCGAUACUGGCGGACUUGAGGACGGUAGAGGUCGGUGGAAUGCCGAGUGUACCGGUGAAAUGGACAGAUAUUCGGCGGAACACCAGUGGCGAAGGCGGCCGACUGGGCCGUUCCUGACGCUGAGACGCGAAAGCCAGGGGAGCGAACCGGAUUAGAUACCCUAGUAGUCC
rnacentral:rRNA from 1 species